ensembl:snoRNA SNORD72 small nucleolar RNA, C/D box 72
UGCUCUCCAGUGAUGUGUAAAAUAUAAAUGUCUGAACAAAUGAUAUCCCGUGAUUUCAACCUUAUACUGAGGAGAGCU